CAUAAUAUUCGUAAGAUAACUCGUAUAAUUUUGAGAUUGGUCAAAAGUUUCUACUGGAUACCGUAAAUAUCCACGCUAUGAGUGAAUUCUUGCGGAUA
rfam:Clostridium cadaveris strain NLAE-zl-G419 genome assembly, contig: Ga0070261_101